UCUGCAUGGCCUGUGGGUGUCAAUUUCUUGAUCUGUCCAGAAUGCAGCCACUUCUCUCCACCCCCUGAUUCCAGCUCAUCCCACAAUCAUGCCCAUUCUUCACCCAGUAGAGACCCACCAGGGCCAUCCCACAACACUUGACCAAACCUACCUCUUCCCCAUCCCGUGCCCCAUGGUGAGGAUUCUCGUCACCCGCUCUAGCCACAGCAGCCUCGCUCUUCUUGGCUUGCUCCCUCCUCUGGGCCUUGGCACUUGCUGCCCCCUACACAGCCCUUCCCCAACUCCCAGGAUGUCCUUCCCAUAUCUGGUCCUUCCUGCCAUUGAGUUCCAGGCCAGAUGUCACCUUGGCACAUCAGCCUGUGAGCUGGGGUCAUUAGAUCCAUUUUACAGAAGAGAAUAUGAGAGGGAAGGUGACCUCCCCAGGAACUCACAGCUAAGGACCAAACCCACACCUGCCCUGGUCAGCCUAUGUGUAAAGCCAAUGCACUUCCCACAGUCCACGGUGGUGGUGUACUCCAAAAACAUGCCUGUCUUGAGCGCCUGGGUCAUUAAGGUUCUUUCUAUUGCAUGUGCAGAAACUCAGCUCAAGCAGACAUAAGCACAAAAAGAGAAUGUAUUUGCAUCUGUAAAUAAAAAGCCCAGGGGUAGACUUCAGGCAUGGCUAGAUCUAGGACAUGGUCUCAGGCUCUCUGCCUGUUGGCUCUUCUUUCUCCACAUGGGCUUCUUUUAUACGACGGGUCUCAGCAACCUUGCACUUACCUCCUGUCCUUUACUUUCCCUAAGCAGAAGACAGAGUCUCUGCUCCCAAGACAUUUAUCUGUCUGGUGGCCCACCCAAGUGACAUGCCUACCCAUGAAUCUAUCCCAAAGUCUGGAGGUAGAAUGCACCGAGUGGCCGGGCCUGAAUCUCAUGCCCAUCCCAAAGCACUGUAGGCCAAGCUAGUUCCUACCCCAAGUAGCCACUAGGGCCAUGUGCCUUUAAUACCACAGGCAAGAGAGAGAGGACAGAAUGGGUUCUGUUGCCAGAAGGAGGAAUAGAUGCUGGGUAGGCAGAAGCCACAGAGGCCCGUGACCUUGGGCAGCUACAGCAGGGCCAAGUCUUGGUGUGGACCAGGAGGCGAGCUGGGGUCUUUCUCUUGCUUACUGCGCCCUAGCCUCACUUGGUCCAUGUACUGCUGCAGCCUGGCCAGAGGGAUAGUGCAGACACUCAUCUGAGGGCCUUUGCUGGGGCUGCUGGAACUGAGAAGAGGUUAAAAUGGAGCCAAUUAACAGGCUGCUUCCUUAGGGAAACUGCUAGGUGAGCAGAGCAUAAGCACUCAGUGAGUUCACCUUGAAAUAAGUUACUAAGGCAGGCCAGCCCCUGCACCGAGUAGGAGGUGGGCCUGGAGAGGGAAGGGAUCAGGGCUGCUGAGCCAGGGAUAUUAUGUGCAGACAGCCCCAAAGACAUCCUUUCCUAGGACGGAUAUUUCUGGAAGUAACUCCAGUUGCUCUAUGGCCCUUAGACUAGCAUCACCCUCACUGCCCCUUACCUGGCCACUCCUUCUCUCACUGAGGGUCUCACCCCACACAUCUCGGUCCCCCACAUGCUGGCAAAGUCACCAUCCCUGGAAGCCCCUCUUCUCUGUAGCCCCCUCCUCCAGGAGCAGAUUGGGGCCAGGAGGAUACUCAUGUGGGACUGGCCUCUGCCAGGCCCUGACAGCUGCCAUCACCAGAACAGUGAUGUUUUCAUAGUGUCUGUGUCUUUUUUUGAAGAAAAGUAUUAGUCCCAGAAAGCCAGGGCCCCCUGUCCCCGGAGCAGCAUGGCCCAUCUGCACAAGCAGUGAUUCCUCCCUGCCACAUCCUGGCAAGUCCUGGAGGUAUGAUAGGUGGUGCCUGGGCUGGCCUGGUGGCCUGUACAGAACCUGGAAGUCAUUGUCCUGAUGACAGGAUUGGCAGCCACUUAGGACAGGUCUUUGCAAGAUUAAAGCAGCACUCAGCAUGGCUGGACCAUUCACUGCCCUCCCAGGCCCUCCAUGGACUGGAGACCACAGUGAAAGUGUGCUGAGGGGAGGGUGUGGCCUGUGUGACCUCUGCCUCAAGGGCCACCUGCUGCUGGAGGGUGUAGCCAGCUGGGGCCCAAAGACAUGGGUCCCUCUGGGUCUCAGGCAUGUCAAGGAGGCAGCUUCGUUCACCUAAGAGACCCCAAGAUUUUAGAGGUCCUAAAAUCCACCUCACCCAACAGCCAUUGUCCUCAGGGACCAGCAAUGCUGCCUCUUCAGGCUGGGCUGAGGAUUGACUACAGCACUUGUUCACUAUUCAGUCACUGUUAUGUGUUGACAUGUUUAUUUUAAUGCAUUUUAAAAAGCACACAGCCAGUACAUUAGACCUGUGAGUUCAUAGAUAUUAUUGGUAAGAAUGAUGCUAAUUUUAAAAUGUGAAUUGAUAUAAAGAACAUGAUUAAGUGAAUAGCUGUGCAGAGAGUAGUCAGACCCGGAAAUAUCAUGAAAUCGAUCCUGUCAUUCAACGAACGCUGAAAUGAGCGGUUUCAUGUUCUGAAGGUCCUGAGCCCGAGCCAGGCUCUUGGAGGGACCCAGGGGGCUGCACAGGGCAGGUGUGCAUAGGGGGGCCCCACCCUUAUCACCCUGCUGGUACCUGGCAUAUCGGUGUCCCUAGCCCUGUGAAAACUUCUCCUUCUGGUGGGUGUCCUCACUUCUCCAGCACUCCCUCUUGGGGAUUCCAUGCACUGACACAUGUGGCCCAGGGCCCAGAAUGGAGGAAGUGGGGUGAGCUGUGUUCUUGGUCACAUGCCGUGCCAUGGCCUGGCUCCCCCAGCUCCCCACACUGCAGCGGCAAGUCACUCAACCAGGGUCACCUCAUGUGAAACAGGGAGGAUGAGAGCAACGGCGUGGUGGGGGACAGAGACGAUGAGGAAUCCACCCAGUGGCUGAGCAGUGAGUCUGGGCUCCUGCUGUCGCUGUGAUCCCUCUUACUGCUUCCACCAUCACUACUGCUACUAGUAGAAGGACUGGUGAAUCUGUCGGAGGGAAAACUGGCUGUCCCCUUUCUGCCAGGGCAUUGUUGGGCUUUCUUAAUACUCAUGUGUUUAUUUUCAAGGAUGUGUGUGUUAACCGUCUUUGGGCUGUGAGUUUGGCGCGUCGCGGCUGGUUCACACCUGUAUCCUCCUGUCCACAAGUGAGGCGGUGCACUCACCAGCUGGGUGUCCUACAAUUCAAAUUUGUUUCCUAAACACUCUUCUCAAGAAGCUACUGGAGGAUGAGCUCCAUUGAAAUGAAAGAAUAAACCAGAAAAGAAGAAGACAUGAGCUGCAGAAAGAAGGAGACCCCACACAAUAGAAAUGACAAGGGAAUCAUCCUUUGGAGGAUGGUGAAAAUGAUUCCAGGAUAGCAGCUCUGCACCACAUGUGGAGGGCAACUGAGCCACACUGCAUCAGGGCAACCCAAGAAACAAACUGUCAUCAUUAAGACCCCCCGCUUCCAUCAGGCCAUCUUCUUAACCCAAGGACAGAACACCCAGGACAACUUGGGCCAGCUUCUCAUCAGUACUUGGCUUGUCUUGACCAUGUGCUAAUGAGGGUCUCUCCCCUCAGGCUCUGCUGAAGACAUGCAUAUCACUCACAGAAGUUUCCAGCUUUCCCCUGAGAGUGGGAGGUAGACCACAGUGGGCUCAAAUAUAGAAAGGACAGAGCAGCCCACUUUCACUGACCGGACUUCUGCUGCAUGUCCAGUGCCUGGUCUACACCCCAGUCUUGCCAGGCACCCAACUGUGGAGAGCCCAGUGUUUCCCAAGACUCACUCGUGACCUUGCUCAUGAGUUCCCCAGAAAGGGCCUUGUCACCUCCCAGAGAAGCGGAAGUCAGACCAAGACUGCUCCACUCACCUCCUCCUGGAGCCUCUGCCCAGCAGGGACAGUGCUGCCCGCUCCUUGCAUGGCUGGUGUGUGCUUGCCCUUCAAUUUCAAGACUAAGAAGUAUGUUUCUUGGGAUAGAUACACAGGUAGACCUAUAAAGAAAAGCAAGGGAACAAUUAGCACAAAAGUCAGAAUGGUUAUUGCCUAGAGGUUAGGGAGUAAGGAGUGGAUUCAUCAGGGAAAGUACGUAAGGGAUUUUAAGGUACUGGUAAUUCUCUUUUUCUUAGCCUGGGUAGCAGUUCACAGAUGUUCAUUCAUAUUGUUUUAAUAAUAAUAAAAAUAAUUCUUAUUUAAAUUA